rnacentral:rRNA from 1 species
AGUGGCGGACGGGUGAGUAACGCGUGAGAAUCUGCCUUGGGGUCGGGGACAACCACUGGAAACGGUGGCUAAUACCGGAUAAGCCGAUUGGUGAAAGAUUUAUUGCCCGAAGAGGAGCUCGCGUCUGAUUAGCUAGUUGGUGAGGUAAGAGCUCACCAAGGCAGCGAUCAGUAGCUGGUCUGAGAGGACGAUCAGCCACACUGGGACUGAGACACGGCCCAGACUCCUACGGGAGGCAGCAGUGGGGAAUUUUCCGCAAUGGGCGAAAGCCUGACGGAGCAAGACCGCGUGAGGGAGGAAGGCUCUUGGGUUGUAAACCUCUUUUCUCAGGGAAGAAGCUCUGACGGUACCUGAGGAAUCAGCCUCGGCUAACUCCGUGCCAGCAGCCGCGGUAAUACGGAGGAGGCAAGCGUUAUCUGGAAUUAUUGGGCGUAAAGCGUCCGCAGGUGGCGAUUCAAGUCUGCUGUCAAAGCACGGGGCUUAACUCCGUAAAGGCAGUGGAAACUGAAUAGCUAGAGUGCCGUAGGGGUAGAGGGAAUUCCCGGUGUAGCGGUGAAAUGCGUAGAGAUCGGGAAGAACAUCGGUGGCGAAAGCGCUCUACUGGACGGCAACUGACACUCAGGGACGAAAGCUAGGGGAGCGAAUGGGAUUAGAUACCCC